rnacentral:rRNA from 1 species
GAUGAACGCUGGCGGCGUGCCUAAUACAUGCAAGUCGAGCGAACGGACGAGAAGCUUGCUUCUCUGAUGUUAGCGGCGGACGGGUGAGUAACACGUGGAUAACCUACCUAUAAGACUGGGAUAACUUCGGGAAACCGGAGCUAAUACCGGAUAAUAUUUUGAACCGCAUGGUUCAAAAGUGAAAGACGGUCUUGCUGUCACUUAUAGAUGGAUCCGCGCUGCAUUAGCUAGUUGGUAAGGUAACGGCUUACCAAGGCAACGAUGCAUAGCCGACCUGAGAGGGUGAGCGGACACACUGGAACUGAGACACGGCACAGACUCCUACGGGAGGAAGCAGUAGGGAAUCUUACGCGAUGGGCGAAAGCCUGACGGAGCAACGCCGCGUGAGUGAUGAAGGUCUUCGGAUCGUAAAACUCUGUUAUUAGGGAAGAACAUAUGUGUAAGUAACUGUGCACAUAUUGACGGUACCUAAUCAGAAAGCCACGGCUAACUACGUG